GUGCUCACUUCGGCAGCACAUAUACUAAAAUUGGAACAAUACAGAGGAGAUUAGCAUGGCCCCUGCACAAGAAUGAUACACAAAUUCAUGAAGCAUUCAUAUUUUUG
rnacentral:snRNA from 1 species